UACGUAGGUGGCAAGCGUUGUCCGGAAUUAUUGGGCGUAAAGCGCGCGCAGGCGGUCUUUUAAGUCUGAUGUGAAAGCCCACGGCUCAACCGUGGAGGGUCAUUGGAAACUGGGGGACUUGAGUGCAGGAGAGAAGAGUGGAAUUCCACGUGUAGCGGUGAAAUGCGUAGAUAUCUGGAGGAACACCGGUGGCGAAGGCGGCGUUCUGGACUGUUUCUGACACUGAAUAACGAAAGCCAGGGGAGCAAACGGG
rnacentral:rRNA from 1 species